rnacentral:rRNA from 1 species
CCUACGGGUGGCUGCAGUGAGGAAUAUUGGUCAAUGGGCGAGAGCCUGAACCAGCCAAGUCGCGUGAGGGAUUACGGCCCUAUGGGUUGUAAACCUCUUUUGUCGGGGAGCAAAAGCCGGACGUGUCCGGCUGUGAGAGUACCCGAAGAAAAAGCAGCGGCUAACUCCGUGCCAGCAGCCGCGGUAAUACGGAGGAGGCGAGCGUUAUCCGGAUUUAGUGGUUUUAAAGGGUGCGCAGGCGGAUUUUGAAGUUAGCGGUGAAGGCGUGGGGCUCAACCCCAUCCAGCCGUUGAAACUGGGGAUCUAGAGUGUGCGAGAGGUAUGCGGAAUGCGAGGUGUAGCGGUGAAAUGCAUAGAUAUCACGCAGAACACCGAUUGCGAAGGCAGCAUACCGGUGCAUAACUGACGCUCAGGCACGAAAGCGUGGGUAUCGAACAGGAGUAGAUACCCCUGUAGUC